UCAGUUUCUCAGUGAAAGGGAAAAAUCAGAGAGAGACAGAGAAAUCAGAGAUAGGAUUCAUUUGUUGGAAAUCAUGAGCAGCGGGACGUCGAAUCUCUUGCAACUUCUGCAGCUUCCUUCUACCAAACUACUCUUAUCUACCUCUAGGCUUCCUAAAGAUCCAUUUUCAACACUGGAAACAAGGAUCUGUUCUAGCUUGAGUUUUCAUAGGAGAAUACAAGCAGCGGCAUAUGAAGUUGUUAACAGAAGCUAUAUACCUGCAGUUCGGAAUGAACAAGCAACCAGUAUUUCGGACAAACCUUUGGGGAAGCUUGAGACAGUUGGCGCAUUUCAAAAGCUACCCAUGGUGAUGCCUUCGAUUGACAUACUCUAUUCGGCAAUGAGGAAAGCAAGGAGAGUCUCUCCUACAAAGGGUAUUGCUAACAUUGCAAAGAGAGAAAGAAAUAAAGGUGCAAGGCAACUUGAUGCAUUGAUGAAGGAAUUAGCUGUUCCUCUGAGAGGGUAUAUGGAGAACUUCCCCAAUAAACAUCACCUGCAUCCUUAUGAACGGUCUCUUAUCGAGUUGACGCUUGGGGAUGGAAACUAUGAACAGGUGUUAAGAAGGGUUGACACUCUAAGAAAGAAGGUUGUAUCUGUUGGAAAGGAACACGCUUCUCUUUGUGCUAAGUCCCUAUCAAAGCGUGAAGCAGAGGAACGAUUGAGUGAGGGUGUAAAGAAGCUCGAAGAAAUUUUUCAACUUGAAGGAAAGUCUAUUGACGAUCUGUUAAACGUUGCAAAGACGUUGCGUGGUAUGCCAGUAGUUGAUCCAGAAACACCGACGCUCUGUCUUGUUGGAGCACCUAAUGUGGGGAAAUCAUCACUAGUCCGCAUACUCUCAACAGGGAAGCCUGAGGUUUGCAACUACCCUUUCACAACUAGAGGAAUAUUGAUGGGUCACAUUGCUAUAAACUAUGAGCGAUUUCAGGUGACUGACACUCCUGGCCUUUUGAAGAGAUGCGAUGAUGACAGGAAUAACCUAGAGAAGUUAACACUAGCUGUCCUUUCAUAUUUGCCAACGGCAAUACUCUACGUUCAUGACCUGUCUGGAGAAUGUGGGACCUCGCCUUCCGAUCAGGUAAUUGGUGGUUGAGGCUGGUUCACUCAGACGUAUAUGUAUAGAGCCUCAGGCACUUGGAAGACAAUCUUUAGAAUCAUCAAUCUCUUCAAGAAGGAAAAUGUUUCACGGCGGAGAAUGGAACUUGUAUUUGAUUCUAGGAGGAUGUCCAAGUCUCUUUGCUUGGUCUUUCCUAGAUUGGCCAGUAUCGCGUCAAAAAGGAUGUCCAUCUCCCAAUGUUUCUCAUCCUUGGGUGGCCAAGUGGUUUGGUUUCCCCCUGUCACAGGAAUUUGACUGGAGAGGAAAUGGAAGAUAUGGUAAGAUUAUUGAAUCUUCCGCAGCGUUGGGUCCCUUAUGUGCUCGACAAGGAUGGCUUGGUGUGGAGAUUGGAGAGGUCAGGAAGGAUCUCUAUUAAUUCUUUUUAUGUGACAAUUCACUCUCCUCAUCCUUGGGAAUUCCGUGCCGCGAGAAAGUUCAUUUGGUUGGUUUGUGAGCAAGAGCCAGGUUCUUGCAAUCGAUAAUGUCCGAAAAGACAUGAUUAUCCCAAAUGUUUGUGUUAUGUGCCUUUGAGGAGCCGAGAAUCUGUGGACCAUUUAUUUAUGCAUCACAUCUUUGCUAGAGCUGUUUGGGAAAGAUGCUUCAAUCUAUUUCAGUGCUGCUAGUUUGUUAUAUACAGACAGAUAAGGGAAAGAUUCAAGGACCACUUAUGGCUUGAUGUAGUCUCGAAAUGUGACCUGUUACAAGACAUGUCCCAUGUCAUCACCGAAGAUGGUGAUGAGGUGGCGAGAUACAAGAAAGUGG